AUCCUUUCGUGGGUUCAUGGGCGUGGCGACCUGGCUUUCACACCACCGUGUAAGACGUGCCUCCCUCAAACCUGGAUAAGACCUGCUGGUCCCCCAUCUGAGG
rnacentral:snoRNA from 1 species